rnacentral:ncRNA from 1 species
UCAAUAACCUUGAACGGGAAUAGUAGACAAUAUCGUCCUCAAGAGAGUAGAACUGCUGCGCUGAAAGGUUCUAUAGGAUACGGUAUAUCGAAGUCGCCUGGGAGUUGUUUAUUUGAAUAUAAAGUGGAGGAUUAUUCUAACACUAUAUAUAGAAUAGACCGGUAGCAGCCGUUAUCUGCCUCGGAGUGUCGUUUAUGGGCUUUUUUAUACAUGGGCGAAACAAAGGUGGUACCGCGAGAGCUAAGUCCUUUCGUCCUUUGA